AGUAUUGUUUCUUUCUCUAUGCUCUGCUGCCUCUCAGUGACUACUGGGAUCCUCUUAAAAUCUUUUCAAUUACAACAUAUCACCACAGCCAUGAGAUACAGAAAUCUAAGUCCUGGGCGCUGUUCUGUUCCUGAUGUGACUUCAAGCAGAACACUUCCCUUUCUGGGUCUCAGUUCCUCCACCACAGAGACUAGAAAAGGGACACUUAGCCAGAGGUCCCACUGAUAAUAGCAAGGAGUGGGGCGCUGGGUUUGUUAAAAGAAGAAACAACUUCCGUCUCCCACUCUCAGCUGCGACUCUUCAGGGGCAAGAUUUCUCACAGCUUUUCUUCUAAGGUUUCUUCCAGUUUUGGCCUCCCAUGAUUCCAUACCUCCUGGAGGGGAAAGAGUGCUGAAUUUGGAGUCAGCUCAAGUUUGAACUUCACUGCUGAUUGCCUGUCAGAGUGCUCUGCACACAGCAGGUGCUGGAUAAGUGUGGGCAGGACUGAAUUAUAUGGGGACUCUUGAAACCGGUAAUAUUGGCACCUGGGCUGGCUGGAGGGUCCAAUCACUUCUGAUGGGAUGCACCAAGAAAGAGGGAAGGUAUCUGACCACACAGCGCAUGGCUAGCCCCAAGACGUUACAAGAACCCAUGAAGAGGCUGGAGACACAGAAACUGCCAGUAAUCCAAGCAGAAGGCCUUUAGCUUGAGCAUUUUCAAAUACUCUGCCGACCCUCUGUGCCUGAGAAGAUAAGAAUACUGAGACCCAGAGAAGUUAAGUGACGGGCCCAUGCAGGUAGCAAGUGACAGAGCUAUGACAAUCUUCCAG